AGCCAUAUGUUAUUCAUUUUAUUUGUUUUUUAUAUAGAUGUGGAAUAAAUAAAUAAUUGUGUGUUAAGAAUUGUAAAUAAUUCUAGAAGUAAAUAAUUGAAUAUGUGCAUUAUAUUUCAUAUUGACAAUGAUGUCAUUUCCGGCCAGAGCCGUUAUUUUUUUUUGUGAUGCAAUAUUGAAGCGAAACAGUUUUUUGACCGUGUAACAUUUUUCCAGUUAAUUUUGUUAUUAAACUUUACCUAAAGAAA